rnacentral:rRNA from 1 species
CACGGGGAGGUAGUGACGAAAAAUAACGAUACGGGACUCAUCCGAGGCCCCGUAAUCGGAAUGAGUACACUCUAAAUCCUUUUCCAAGGACCCAUUGGAGGGCAAGUCUGGUGCCAGCAGCCGCGGUAAUUCCAGCUCCAAUAGCGUAUAUUAAAGUUGUUGCGGUUAAAAAGCUCGUAGUCGAAUCUGUGUCUCGCGCCGCUGGUUCAUCGCUCGCGGUGUUUAACUGGCGUGCCCGCGAGACGUCCUGCCGGUGGGCUUUUCGAAAUGAUUUAGCUACCCGCGGUCGUUCGAGGCCCAACUCGUAUCAGUUUUGCGCUGGUGCGAAUCCCAUCGCGGUGCUCUUUAUUGAGUGUCGAGGUGGGCCGGCACGUUUACUUUGAACAAAUUAGAGUGCUUAAAGCAGGCCAAUUUUGCCUGAAUAUUGCGUGCAUGGAAUAAUGGAAUAGGACCUCGGUUCUAUUUUGUUGGUUUUCGGAACCCCGAGGUAAUGAUUAAUAGGAACGGAUGGGGGCAUUCGUAUUGCGACGUUAGAGGUGAAAUUCUUGGAUCGUCGCAAGACGGACAGAAGCGAAAGCAUUUGCCAAAAACGCUUUCAUUGAUCAAGAACGAAAGUUAGAGGUUCGAAGGCGAUCAGAUACCGCCCUAGUUCUAACCAUAAACGAUGCCAGCUAGCGAUCCGCCGACGUUCCUCCGAUGACUCGGCGGGCAGCUUCCGGGAAACCAAAGCUUUUGGGUUCCGGGGGAAGUAUGGUUGCAAAGCUGAAACUUAAAGGAAUUGACGGAAGGGCACCACCAGGAGUGGAGCCUGCGGCUUAAUUUGACUCAACACGGGAAACCUCAUCAGGCCC